GGGGCUGUAGCUCAGCUGGGAGAGCGCUGCAAUCGCACUGCAGAGGUCAGGGGUUCGACUCCCCUCAGCUCCA
rnacentral:tRNA from 1 species